rnacentral:rRNA from 1 species
UACGUAGGGUGCGAGCGCUAAUCGGAAUUACUGGGCGUAAAGUGUGCGCAGGCGGCAGAGCAAGUCGAGUGUGAAAGCCCCGGGCUUAACUUGGGAAUUGCGCUCGAAACUACUUUGCUGGAGUGUGGCAGAGGAAGGUGGAAUUCCACGUGUAGCGGUGAAAUGCGUAGAGAUGUGGAGGAACACCAAUGGCGAAGGCAGCCUUCUGGGCCAACACUGACGCUCAUGCACGAAAGCGUGGGGAGCAAACAGG